GACGAACGCUGGCGGCGUGCCUAAUACAUGCAAGUUGAGCGCUGAAGGUUGGUACUUGUACCAACUGGAUGAGCAGCGAACGGGUGAGUAACGCGUGGGGAAUCUGCCUUUGAGCGGGGGACAACAUUUGGAAACGAAUGCUAAUACCGCAUAAAAACUUUAAACACAAGUUUUAAGUUUGAAAGAUACAAUUGCAUCACUCAAAGAUGAUCCCGCGUUGUAUUAGCUAGUUGGUGAGGUAAAGGCUCACCAAGGCGAUGAUACAUAGCCGACCUGAGAGGGUGAUCGGCCACAUUGGGACUGAGACACGGCCCAAACUCCUACGGGAGGCAGCAGUAGGGAAUCUUCGGCAAUGGACGAAAGUCUGACCGAGCAACGCCGCGGGAGUGAAGAAGGUUUUCGGAUCGUAAAACUCUGUUGGUAGAGAAGAACGUUGGUGAGAGUGGAAAGCUCAUCAAGUGACGGUAACUACCCAGAAAGGGACGGCUAACUACGUG
rnacentral:rRNA from 1 species